AGUGAACGCUGGCGGUGGGCCUAACACAUGCCAGUCGAACGGCAGCACAGUAAGAGCUUGCUCUGACGGGUGGCGAGUGGCGGAUGGGUGGGGGAUGCAUCGGAAUCUCCUUUUUCGUGGGGGAUAACGUAGGGGAACAUAGGCUAAUACCGCAUAUGAUCUACGAGAGAAACCAGGCGAUGUUCGGACCUUUCGCGAAAGCAUGAGCCGAUGUCGGAUUAGCUAGUUGGCGUGGUAAAGGCCAAGCAAGGCGAGGAUCCGUAGCUGGUCUCACAGAAUCGUUCGCCAGACUGGAAGUGAGACACAGUCCCGACUCCUGCGCGAGGCAGCAGUGGGGAAUAUUGGGCGAUGGGGGCAAGCCUGAUACAGCCAAACCGCGUGAGUGAUGAAGGACUUCGGGCGGUAAAGCCCUGUUGUUGGGAAAGAAAAGCAGCAGUAUAAUACCCCGCUGUUCUGACGGUACCUAAAGAAUAAGCACCGGCUAACUUCGUG
rnacentral:rRNA from 1 species